AGGGAUGGACAAUGAUCUUCGUUGCACAUGGUCUUCCAUGUCUGUUCCAUUAUCCCCUUGUUGAAUUCACUAGGUGACAAAAGAGAAAACAGAGGAAACUCUGUACAACGUUUGGAACACUACUCUAACUCUAUGGGAUUCAAUAAUCAGGAAAAUAAUCAACCUCCAACAGCUGAAGCUAGAGCUUAAGUUGAAUUCGGUUUUGAAUCAUCAAAUCAGCUACCUUGAU